rnacentral:rRNA from 1 species
UGAGGAACAUGACCUUCGGCGGGGGAUAGCCGGCCCAACGGCCGGGUAAUACCGCGUACGACCACUCGGGGACAUCCCUAGGUGGUGAAAGCAGCAAUGCGCCGAUGGAGUGCCUCGCGGCCUAUCAGCUAGUUGGUGAGGUAACGGCUCACCAAGGCGACGACGGGUAGCUGGUCUGAGAGGAUGGCCAGCCACAGUUGGGACUGAGACACCGGCCCAGACCUCCGUACGGGAGCAG